GAACUUGUAAAAUACAAUUAUUCCUCAUAGAUAUAACAUUUCCAAUCUUUUUGAACAAGAUAAUCUCUCCUAUAUACAUAUCUCUUUGCCCAAAACAGAUAGUUCAAGUAACUUACCAAUCCAAGUAUUGCAAGUAACCAAUAGAACCGGUCAAGAUGGUUCUUGUUUAA